CGCGGGGUAGAGCAGUCCGGUAGCUCGUUGGGCUCAUAACCCAAAAGUCGGCGGUUCAAAUCCGUCCUCCGCAA
rnacentral:tRNA from 1 species